UGGUGUAGCUCAGUUGGUAGAGCAUCAGUUUUGUACUCUGAGGGUCGCGGGUUCGAACCCUGUCACC
rnacentral:tRNA from 1 species